UCCCUGGUAGUAUAUCGGUUAGUACACGCGCCUGUCAUUAACCUCUGGACUGUAGCUACGCGCGAAAGCUGGGUUCGACUCCCAGCCAGGGAG